CCGUGCUAGACGGGGAGGUAGCGGUGCCCUGUACCCGCAAUCCGCUAUAGCGGGGUCGAAUUCCCGUCCGAGGCUGGGCCUUGUGGGGACCGGGCCCGGCCAGUGGUGCUGACGGCCGGGUCUUGCGCAACAGGAUCCCACGAACCCCGUCAGGUCCGGAAGGAAGCAGCGGUAAGUGGGCCCGCCUGUGUGCCGCAAGGGCGCCUGGCCCGAGCCGACUACCGGGAUUCCGCCUGGAAGGCCCCGGUCGACGACGGGUGCACGG
rfam:Limnochorda pilosa DNA, complete genome, strain: HC45.